rnacentral:misc_RNA from 1 species
GAAAUGCGAUAAGUAAUGCGAAUUGCAGAAGUCAGUGAAUCAUCGAAUCUUUGAACGCACAUUGCGCCCGCCAGUACUCUGGCGGGCAUGCCUGUCCGAGCGUCAUUUCAACCCCUCGGGCCGAACCCCCUUUCCCCCUCAGGGGAAGGGCGGGGGGCGCCCGGUGUUGGGGCUUUCAGGCGUCGGCCCCCCGGGGCUGCCUGUCCCCUAAAUGCAGUGGCGGCCACGCCGCGGCCUCCCCCGCGCAGUUAGCACCUCGCGGAUCGGGAAGGCGGCGCGGCCACGCCCCUAGAACCACUACGAAAUGUACCAAGGUUGACCUCGGAUCAGGUAGGGAUACCCGCUGAACUUAA